rnacentral:rRNA from 1 species
CCUAGCGGCGGACGGGUGAGUAAUGCUUAGGAAUCUGCCUAUUAGUGGGGGACAACAUUCCGAAAGGAAUGCUAAUACCGCAUACGCCCUACGGGGGAAAGCAGGGGAUCUUCGGACCUUGCGCUAAUAGAUGAGCCUAAGUCAGAUUAGCUAGUUGGUGGGGUAAAGGCCUACCAAGGCGACGAUCUGUAGCGGGUCUGAGAGGAUGAUCCGCCACACUGGGACUGAGACACGGCCCAGACUCCUACGGGAGGCAGCAGUGGGGAAUAUUGGACAAUGGGCGAAAGCCUGAUCCAGCCAUGCCGCGUGUGUGAAGAAGGCCUUUUGGUUGUAAAGCACUUUAAGCGAGGAGGAGGCUACCGAGAUUAAUACUCUUGGAUAGUGGACGUUACUCGCAGAAUAAGCACCGGCUAACUCUGUGCCAGCAGCCGCGGUAAUACAGAGGGUGCGAGCGUUAAUCGGAUUUACUGGGCGUAAAGCGUGCGUAGGCGGCUUUUUAAGUCGGAUGUGAAAUCCCUGAGCUUAACUUAGGAAUUGCAUUCGAUACUGGGAAGCUAGAGUAUGGGAGAGGAUGGUAGAAUUCCAGGUGUAGCGGUGAAAUGCGUAGAGAUCUGGAGGAAUACCGAUGGCGAAGGCAGCCAUCUGGCCUAAUACUGACGCUGAGGUACGAAAGCAUGGGGAGCAAACAGGAUUAGAUACCCUGGUAGUCCAUGCCGUAAACGAUGUCUACUAGCCGUUGGGGCCUUUGAGGCUUUAGUG